rnacentral:rRNA from 1 species
AACGAACGCUGGCGGCAGGCUUAACACAUGCAAGUCGAGCGCCCCGCAAGGGGAGCGGCAGACGGGUGAGUAACGCGUGGGAAUCUACCCAUCUCUACGGAAUAACGCAUGGAAACGUGUGCUAAUACCGCAUACGCCCUACGGGGAAAGAUUUAUCGGGGUAUGAUGAGCCCGCGUUGGAUUAGCUAGUUGGUGGGGUA